GAAAGGCGAUGUAGCGUGGUUUGGUGUUGCGGUGAAAUCGGCCCUUUUCCCAGCAAGGUAGAUGGAGAUGAAGCGGUUGUGGCCAUUUUAGGGAUCACUGUAGCCUUGAGCCAUGGCCCAUACAUCUAUUUGCCUGAGAUUUAUAGUUUGUAGCUUGCUCUGAAGGCCCUACAGAACAGUCUUAGCAAAGAUGCCCAACAAUACCACAUUCGAAGCAAAUAUCAGGUAAUUUUUCAUAUUUCAAAUUGACCCAAUGCUGCUCUCCAUUAGGUUUCACAUUCUGAAAGCCUGGAAUUAUCGGUUUCUCAACAUUAAUAAUGGCUCUGAGUCGCAAGAAGAGAGGGAAACCAAAGUCUCCAUCUUGGGUCAUAUCAACCUCCAGAAAUUCCCUAACAAGAUUCCCAAUAAUCUUAGCAUUGCUAAUGUUUGUUUGAUUUGAUGGCAACCCAUGGGCUUGUAGCCAGAUGGGUAUGUGGUUGAAGGAAAUCUCUUUGUAAGCUUUAUCUGACGGCCAUUCUCGUAUAGAUAAAAGCUGAUUAUGAAUGCACCAGGGGCAGUUUUGUAAGACAUAACAAACAUCCACCUCAUGGUUAAAAGUAAAAAGGAAAAGAUUAGGUUUUUUGGGGGAAAUGGUAAAGGGUUGUUUAGUGCUCCAAAUUUUGGUUAGGAUUGCUUUGAGGGUGGAAACAGAGAAGACCUUAUGUGAAAGAAUUUUCCCUGCAAGCACUUUCCUGUGGUUAAAAGUAUGGUUAUCUUGGUUGGCAGUAAGUUGCAACACUGGCUCUUGCAGGUCAGAUUUUUGGCUUUGUUAAUGAGUGUGGUGAUAUUCUCUUCAAAGUCCGACAUGGUAGGUAGGUGAAUGGGGUAAGAGGAGACAGUUGGAAGAGGUUGAAGGCAAGGCAGAAAGUAUAAGACUGGAAGGAAGGGAGCAAGGUAGGAGAAAAAACAGGGAUCUUCAAUCCCACUCAAUAAGGGCUUCAACCCCAAACCCUGUAUUCACUCGGAACCACCAAUUUUUGGGGGGUUUUCUUGAAUAAAUUUCCAGGAAUUGAAAAAGAAAAAGAUUUCCAAGCUAGUUUCAAUCGGAAAUUAGAAUCUAUCACAGAUUAAUAAUGUGAGAAUAAAGAAGCUCAUUGCACACAUCAGGCAAUCUAGGGAGGCACCAAUGUAUACAUUCUGCAUAACUUUCUGGGUUCGAUAAUUUUUCUUCUGUUGAGGGUUCCCUAUUCUUUUUAUGUAUCCCUCUUUGAACACUUGCU
rnacentral:misc_RNA from 1 species